GGCAACUGGCCACCUUCCCAGCCCUGCACUCCACCUGCUUCACUCUGAGCUCUCAGCUCCUCACUCUCUACCUCUGGGAGCACUUGCGCGUAGCGGCCACAGGAGGGCACUCACGAGCACAAGUGCACUCCCAGCCAGGGUCUCUGCACUCAGCACUCAGCACUCAGCACUCAGCACUCAGGGUGCAGGGCUGAGGAUCUUGUAGGACAGACCUGCCUGCUGCUGCUCCCUGCUGGGACGUCAGGCAGGACACUCAGCUCCAGCACACUUGCUGGAUCCUGUCCCUUUUGAGUAGGAUUACAAGCCUGAGGAUUAUUGGCUCCCCUUGUCAUCCUUGAUUCUUUCCUUCCAGGGAAGUUCUCAGAGGAGAAGGGUAUGCUGUGGACUGUAGCCCUAUUUGUAGCUUUCCUUGCUCCUGGAAGUCAAGCUUCUUCCAAACCAGAACAAACAAUGACACUGGUCACCCAGUCAGCUGGGUCGUCUGUUAUAAUCCCUUGUAUUUCUAAAGAAAGAGACAUUCUGCACUGGUAUAGUUUCAAGGAUGGAGAGACCCCACAAGGCCUUCUCUACUAUAAGUUCUCUAGCUCCUCUUUUGAAGUAGAUUCAGGAGUUAAUCCAAACAAAUAUUAUGCUUACGACGACCCAGGCAGCACCUGUAACCUUGUACUGCAAAACCUAGAGAAAAGUGAUUCUGGAGUGUAUUUCUGUGCCAUCUGGGUUAGCACAGUGGUUCAGACCUGCCCAGAGCCACACUGAAAAUUCUGCUUGUGGUUGUCGCUUGCAUAUAGAUAGGUUGCUUCCCUC